AUACCUUACGAGGACAAUUGGAGGGCAAGUCUGGUGCCAGCAGCCGCGGUAAUUCCAGCUCCAAUAGCGUAUAUUAAAGUUGUUGCAGUUAAAAAGCUCGUAGUUGGAUUUUGGAACUCGCUUGUUGGGCCGCCGCAAGGUGUUGCUCCGACCAGGUGUGUUCUUUCCUCCCGAAAGCGGCGUGUGCGCUUAAUUGAGUGUGCGUCGAGUUUGGGACUUUUACUGUGAAAAAAUUAGAGUGUUCAAAGCAGGCUAUCGCUUGAAUAUUUCAGCAUGGAAUAAUGGAAUAGGACGUUGGUUCUAUUUUGUUGGUUUCUAGGACCAAAGUAAUGAUUAAUAGGGAUAGUUGGGGGCAUUAGUAUUUAAUUGUCAGAGGUGAAAUUCUUGGAUUUAUGAAAGACUAACUUCUGCGAAAGCAUUUGCCAAGGAUGUUUUCAUUAAUCAAGAACGAAAGUUAGGGGAUCGAAGAUGAUCAGAUACCGUCGUAGUCCUAACCAUAAACUAUGCCGACUAGGGAUUGGU
rnacentral:rRNA from 1 species